rnacentral:lncRNA from 1 species
AAAAAAACCUCCUCACCAGCAGCUCCGUCUCAAACUUUAACAAGCCUGCGUGAUCCUGAGCUCUUAUCCGAGCGCCGAUCGUCAGAUUGAAAUGUGUCAUAAUCGAGUGAAACCGCAGAUUAGAGAAAGUCAUUUGAUUUCUUCUUCUUCUGAACAUGUUGUCAAACCACGAGGUGACAGAUGAUGUUUUUUUUCUGUUCCUCUUGGAAACAUUCAACCACAAAAACACACUUUUAUAUUUAUUUGAUGUUUACAAGAAUUCAGGAUCAAACCAGGACUAACUCUCUUUAGGAGACGGUAAGAUCAGGAGUCAUCGAACACUUGAAACAUGACCGCCUGAGUUCUCAGGUAUUUGAGGAUUAAACCUGAAGUUCUUUUCUGAUGUUAGUCCAGUCUGCAGAAUUAAGUCGUGGCACAUCGUACUGAUCUGUAUUUGUGUUUUACAGUCCAGUUGAGACUCUUUUUACCGACCGUGUGCCAAAUACAGGGAUACAAACAGUUUUGAGUGUAAAUAAUAAGUUUAAACCACCAAACUUAGAGGUUUAAACCCGUGCGUUGUCCUCUCAUGCAUCAGGACUUGUUUCCAGGCGUCACUUUUUUAAAACCCGAAGACAAAGAAAAGACAAAAUCUGAUUCUCAGGGUUUUAAAAAGUUACGUGGAAAAGAAAAAUCGACAAAAGCGUGACUGUAAAGAGGCGUCAGAGCUCUUUAACUGUGGCCAAGCUUGGCGAAUGUGGCCGCCAUCUUGUUUUUCUUGUUGCUUAGUGACAGAAAAAGCGUCUAAAAGUGAUGGAAACAGGUCUGAGCUGCAGGGUCAGAGGUGGUCAGGAGUCUGGGUUUGAGGUUUUUUAUGAAACAGAAGGAAACUCCCGAAUCAAACUCGUGUUGGAAAAAACUCAGAAGAGAGACGAGAUUAGGAGGAGAGAACCUGGCGAGGCUGCGGUGAGCCCUAAGCGCCGCCGCCGCCCGACGUCCUCCGCCGCUGUCUGCGCUGUAAGACGGCGGAGUAUCGCACCUACCAGGCAGAUGGAAAUUCAAACACCGAGUGCCAAGAUCUUUCUGUGGAUUCCCGACUUCCAAAUAGCUUAGGAUAAUUCUCCGUCUAAGCUAAUACCUGGUGAGGAAGUAAAGCCUGAAGGAUGGGAUUAUUUAAUGUGGCGUUUUUAAUGUGUGACACGCUAAUCACAUCUCAGAACAGGAAUACUUCAACCAUUUAACUUUCGUCAGGGGAGGAGAGACGUUUUUGGAGGGGGGGUAAGCCUUCAAAAGAGACCCCCUUCCCUCCUUCCACCGCCACCUCAUACCGCCGAAACCUGCUGCAAAACCUCUGUGACAAUGACACAUUGUGGAGGGAGAAAGGGGGGAGGCAGGGGGAGGCGGCGUAACCUCGAGUGCACGAGCGAGGGAAGUUUUUCUCCUGCCUGUUGUGGCGAGCGCACACAGCAACGCAGGGAGUCUUUCCUAAGCAUUACACAUCAAUCCGGGGCCGAGACGGCAGACAGAAUUACUCCUCUGUGUACCCGUAAUGAUUUCCUCACAAUCCUCGCAUAUACCCGCGCCUGAAUCUCCCGCGGAUUUACGGAUAAAGCCGAGUUUUCCUCCCCGGAUCCCAAAGUUUAACAAGGUGAAGCAGACGAGCCCCGAUCUGACCACUCUGAGCUGGAAGUUAAUGCUGCACGCUUGACAAGCCGCAUCACAGACAGGCGGCGAGGAGGGUUCAGACGCUCGUCUCUCUAUCUGCGUCAUCUGUCUGUGAUCAUUAAUGGUUAAACAUCUGAAGCGUUGCUAUUAUAUCAGCGUGGAAAGUUAUUAAAACACACACACACUCACACACACGCACACACACACAGAGGCUGCCCUGGUGUCUUUAAGGAUCGCUCUGAUAGCGGUGAGGAAAUCAAUGAAGGGCCUGAGAGCAGCCGGUCUGGCAGACUUGACACGCAACAGAGGAAGGUAAAUUAUUGGAACUUUAAUUACUUUGAUCCGUCAUGCAUUGUAGCAUUGUGUCAGGGAAGUCAAUGCCAUGACAGACGCCGAACAAAGGCCAGCGCCGCAUUUUCAUAACAUCUUCACUCCCUUUUCCUAAUGCCUGAUUAAAGCCGGGGUGUUGAGGACCAAAAGCCCCCAGCCUCGGCCCCCGUUUUUUUUAUUUAUUUCUUCCCCUUCUCCCUCUCCUCUGCCUCCAUGCACUGAUUUAGAAACUCAUUUUGAAAGCUCUGUUUACCCAACUCAUUACUGAAGUCAGGGAUUGAAUGCCGCUCUAUUAUGGGCCUCUGCACCACGGCUUUACAAACAAGCACAAUGCGCCGUGCUAUCACCGUUAUCACAUUGUACCGCACGUAAUGUAUCGUGCUGUUUUCCUCCCAUAAAUAUAAGUCUGUGUUUUCAGCUAAAUUAAGAAGGAUUUUCCUCCACAAUGAAGCCUGUCCUUCUCUGAGUGGCCGCACAAGAAAACAAUGAGGAAAAAAACCCACAAAGUAAAUGAGCGAGAGUGAGAAAUUCCUUUUUUAUCAUUAAAGGGAGAGCAAAAUUACUCCUUUUUCCCCCUUUUUCAUGAAUAUUCUGCCACUUAGCGUUGGGAUGAAUCUGCAGGAUUGUUCUCGGAGCUGAUAAAUGGCCAGCAUGUGUGGUAAUUUAGAAGCGCACAUUAAUCUCCAAUCGUGGCCUAAGAAGGGAAUAAAUCGAAAAAAAAAGGUAAUUGAUAUCCAGAGGAUGGGCAGAAAAAGUUGUGCAGAUAUAACUAAGGCGAUCAUGUGCGUUAUUAAUUGCUCAAACUGCAGCAUGUGAGGCUGCGACCAGGAGAGGAGAGUGCUUUGUUUUAAUUCUUCAUUCAUACGUUAAGGACGAUUAAGCAGAACUGUUGUUUUGAGCGGCUGAAGGCGAGAGCUCAGAGAAAUUGUCAGCUGUCAUCAAGAAAGGAGCGCUGCUCUUGACUGGAGUCUUAAUUCAUUAGCGGAUCAGGGAUUUGCUAACUUCAGUCCUAAUCGUCCCCAGUCUUCUCCCACUGAUGGUUUAUAUUUCUGUCUCUCAGUGAUUUGUAUUUUAUUGUAUUCUGCACUUUGGGAUAAUCCGGCACAAUGUGACCAAAUGGGCUUUGAGAGUCUUUCUCAGUCGUAGAGGACGGUGCGGACAUCGGCUCUCUGUACCGCCGCCGCCGCCGCUGCUGCUGCUGAUGAUGAUGAUGAUGAUGAUGCAGAGACUUUGGUUAGUUUAAAACUUCAGUCUUAAACCUGGAUCUGGUUUCUGCAGAAUAUGGAGUCCAGGUGAUGGAUAGGUGCAAAAGUUCUGACUCAGUUCCUGCAGAAAAUCAGCAAAUGCAUCUCAUGAUAUGAAGUGUUUUUAAAGUAAUUCAGAGGUUAAACAGAAUAAAGGUUUCUGUUUUAUGCUCUUCUUAGUAUGUGAAAUAAAAACUGUAGUUUUACUUUAGAUUAAAACCACAACAGUAUAUCACUUAUUCACAUUUACACUUAAAACUGCAGGGAGAUCAGCAGCUCCACUGUUCUGCAGGGUGGUGUUUUUGUUUUGCAGUGACACUGAUAUUUCAGAUAUAUAACAGACGAUCCUCUUUCUGCAGCCUUUUAUUCUUUUAAGACUCCAAAAGACGUAAAUCCAGAUCUGAGGAUAAAAACAGCGGACUAACCCUUUAAACAGGAACUAAACUGAACCUUAAACACCUGAUUUCAACCUGAAAAAGCAGAGGUGCAGUUUAACGUCUGAGUGAACAGUGUCCACGCUCCCACAGGCGUCAUAUCUCAGAGUUUGAAGCUGCAGAUAAAUGAGAGUUAUUGCAGUUAUUUCACUUACCUGCCGAAGGACUCACCUGGUUAUUACCUGGUUAUCGAUCCACGCAGACAAACAUCGUGAGAGGAAAACGUCCGGUUUCCUCUUGAGAAAGUUUCGCCCCUGCCCCACCGCCGCCGCUGUAGUUUGAAUCUGUGUGUGAAAAAGUUAAAAUGUUCAGACCCUCAGACUGCGAGAGAAAAAUCAUACUUCUGCUUUAAUUUGUAUUGAUGGCCUGGAAGAAACCAGCAUGCUUUGCAGUUCUGUGAGGGGGAAGAUGUUUAAGUGGAGAUUAAUUCAAAUUUCUGCUUGCUCAGUACUUGUAAAACUAAAGCAAUUUAUAUUCCUUCUCUUAACGAUCCCCCCUUUCUCUGAUUGCGGUAAUGUAAUCUAAUUGUAAUUAUGAUACUAUCUGAAUCAUGCAGACCUUAACAUGAUUGGAGCUACUCAUUGCAUUAAAAACUAAUUUUUGAAUAAUGAUGAAAGGAGCACUGGAAAAUGUGGAAGUAUUACAUUUUUUCUUUAUCUCUGUUUUGUGGGGGGAUCUUGUUCUCUCCCCCCUCGCUUCCCCCUUUUCCUCCCCCUCGCCUCCAGUCUUAGUUCUGGUAUAAAUGACAAGGAGUGGAUCCGGAGAGUGGUGGGGGUGCAUGAUGGGAAAUGGACCACCCCAAUUAAAGGUAUCAGGCUCAUCAGUGGCUGCAGGAUAGCGGCGUACCGCUGCGAACAAGUCGAGUGUCGUCCCACGAGGUUUAGCUUAUCAUCACAUGAGCCUCCUACGCCGUGAUUCACCCCCUCACCCAACAACCGCUCACCUCACCCGAGAGGGGAGGAGGAGGGGGGAGGAGGAGAGCUGUUCCUGCAGGAACGAUAAGACUGAAGUGGUACCAAAUGUGGAGGCAGCAGCACGACAGUGACUCUACGGUUUUAUUUCAAUGCUAACUUCACGGAUUAGUCCUUUAAUUUGGAGAAAGUAAAGUUAUUAAUGCAGAUGGGAGCUAACCAGAGUGUGUUUUCAACAGGGUUAAAGGUCAGCACCA